UCAUAAAGUACUCAGUACGUCUGAGUACUUUAUCUGGUUGAACACUCCACACCUUUAAUUCCAGUUCAUAUUGGACUUUUCUUUACGAUAAUGACGACGCCGAACCUCCGACUACGUUGUCUGA